CCUACGGGUGGCAGCAGUGAGGAAUAUUGGUCAAUGGCCGCAAGUCUGAACCAGCCAUGUCGCGUGCAGGAUGACUGCUCUAUGAGUUGUAAACUUCUUUUGUACGGGGAUAAACUCAGGUACGCGUGUCUUUCUGAAAGUAUCGUAUGAAUAAGGAUCGGCUAACUCCGUGCCAGCAGCCGCGGUAAUACGGAGGAUUCGAGCGUUAUCCGGAUUUAUUGGGUUUAAAGGGUGCGUAGGCGGGCGGAUAAGUUAGAGGUGAAAUACCGAGGCUCAACUUCGGAAUUGCCGCUGAUACUGGUCGGCUUGAGAGUAGUUGCGGUAGGCGGAAUGUAUGGUGUAGCGGUGAAAUGCUUAGAGAUCACACAGAACACCGAUUGCGAAGGCAGCUUACUAAGCUACUUCUGACGUUGAGGCACGAAAGCGUGGGGAGCAAACAGGAGUAGAUACCCUUGUAGUC
rnacentral:rRNA from 1 species